AACUUUUAGCAAUGGAUCUCUUGGCUUUCGCAUCGAUGAAGAACGCAGCGAACGUGCGAAACGUAUUGUGAUUUGCAGAAUUCAGUGAAUCAUCGAAUCUUUGAACGCAUCUUGCGCUCCUUGGUAUUCCGAGGAGCAUGCGUGUUUGAGUGCCGUGAAUAACUCUCAAUUUUAACUAUCUUUUUCACAAGUCUCUGAAAUUGGAUUUGGGUGUUGUCGUGUUUGUACGACUCAUCCCUAAAAGCAUUAGCGAUCUGCCCUGAUCACACACAAUGUGAUAAGUAAAAAUUAAAACAUUGGCAUGGUUGGGUUUGAAAGAUGGCUUCUUAAUCGUCGUAAUGACAAAAUUGAGUCUUAAGGACCCAUGUCGUUUGACCUCAAAUCAGGCAGGACUACCCGCUGAACUUAAGCAUAUCAAUAAGCGGAGGC
rnacentral:misc_RNA from 1 species